GCAGUUCGUUAGACGAUCGCUUGUUUUACGACAAGAGGAAAGUCCGGGCAGCAUAGGAUAAUGACAGUCGCUAACGGCGACCGGGGGCAACCCUAGGGAAAGUGCCACAGAAACAAAACUACCCAUUUCGGUGGGAAAAGGUGAAAUGAGUGGGGUAAGAGCCCACAGCGUCAUAUGGUGACAUAUGGAGAAGGUAAACCCUGUCAGCUGCAAGGAGAUCAGCACAAAGAGUGAUCCGCUCGCUGGUCGGUACCCGCUUGAUCAUGCUAGCAAUAGCCUGACUAGAUAGAUGGUCGUCCACGACAAAACCCGGCUUACAGACGAACUGCUCGG
rnacentral:RNase_P_RNA from 1 species